AGUGAACGCUGGCGGUAGGCCUAACACAUGCAAGUCGAACGGCAGCACAGUAAGAGCUUGCUCUUACGGGUGGCGAGUGGCGGACGGGUGAGGAAUACAUCGGAAUCUACUUUUUCGUGGGGGAUAACGUAGGGAAACUUACGCUAAUACCGCAUACGACCUACGGGUGAAAGCAGGGGAUCUUCGGACCUUGCGCGAUUGAAUGAGCCGAUGUCGGAUUAGCUAGUUGGCGGGGUAAAGGCCCACCAAGGCGACGAUCCGUAGCUGGUCUGAGAGGAUGAUCAGCCACACUGGAACUGAGACACGGUCCAGACUCCUACGGGAGGCAGCAGUGGGGAAUAUUGGACAAUGGGCGCAAGCCUGAUCCAGCCAUACCGCGUGGGUGAAGAAGGCCUUCGGGUUGUAAAGCCCUUUUGUUGGGAAAGAAAAGCAGCAGGUUAAUACCCCGCUGUUCUGACGGUACCCAGAAUAAGCACCGGCUAACUUCGUG
rnacentral:rRNA from 1 species